UGCUGAAUUAUUCGCCACUGCGCGAAAGCGUGACGGUGCGACGCCGCGUGGAGGAUGAAGGCCUUCGGGUUGUAAACUCCUGUCAGGGUAUAGAAAACCGCAGUUGUUAACAGCAGCUGCGCUGAUCAUAUCCAAUGGAAGCACAGGCUAACCUCGUGCCAGCAGCCGCGGUAAUACGAGGUGUGCAAGCGUUGCUCGGAAUCACUGGGCAUAAAGGGUGCGUAGGCGGUGUGGUCAGUCGGAUGUGAAAUCCCUCGGCUUAACCGGGGAACUGCAUCCGAUAGUACCACGCUGGAGGGUGAAAGGGGCAAGCGGAAUGCCAGGUGUAGCGGUGGAAUGCGUUGAUAUCUGGGAGAACGCCAACGGCGAAGGCAGCUUGCUGGGUCACCUCUGGCGCUGAGGCACGAAAGCUAGGGGAGCAAACA
rnacentral:rRNA from 1 species